rnacentral:rRNA from 1 species
UACGGGGGGGGCAAGCGUUGUUCGGAUUUACUGGGCGUAAAGGGCGCGUAGGCGGCAUGACAAGUCACUUGUGAAAUCUCUGGGCUUAACUCAGAACGGCCAAGUGAUACUGUCGCGCUAGAGUGCAGAAAGGGCAAUCGGAAUUCUUGGUGUAGCGGUGAAAUGCGUAGAUAUCAAGAGGAACACCUGAGGCGAAGGCGGGUUGCUAGGCUGACACUGACGCUGAUGCGCGAAAGCCAGGGGAGCAAACGGG